rnacentral:rRNA from 1 species
AUACGGAGGACGCGAGCGUUAUCCGGAUUCAUUGGGUUUAAAGGGUGCGUAGGCGGUUUGCUAAGCGGGAGGUGAAAUGCCGGCGCUCAACGUCGGAAGUGCCUCCCGAACUGGUGGACUUGAAUGACUCUGCCGUGGGAGGAAUGUGUAGUGUAGCGGUGAAAUGCUUAGAGAUUACACAGAACACCGAUUGCGAAGGCAUCUCACGAAGGGUUGAUUGACGCUGAGACACGAAAGCGUGGGGAUCAAACAGGAUUAGAUACCCUGGUAGUCCACGCAGUAAACGAUGAUGGCUAACCGCUGGGCUUAUCAGUUCAGUGGCCAAGCGAAAGCGAUAAGCCAUCCACCUGGGGAGUACGACCGCAAGGUUGAAACUCAAAUGAAUUGACGGGG